rnacentral:rRNA from 1 species
CCUACGGGUGGCAGCAGUGAGGAAUAUUGGUCAAUGGCCGCAGGGCUGAACCAGCCAAGUCGCGUGAGGGAUGACGGUCCUAUGGAUUGUAAACCUCUUUUGUCAGGGAGCAAAGGGCGCCACGUGUGGCGCUUUGCGAGUACCUGAAGAAAAAGCAUCGGCUAACUCCGUGCCAGCAGCCGCGGUAAUACGGAGGAUGCGAGCGUUAUCCGGAUUUAGUGGGUUUAAAGGGUGCGCAGGCGGAAUGUCAAGUAAGCGGUAAAAUUUCGGGGCUCAACCCCGGCGUGCCGGUGAGACUGGCGGUCUAGAGGGAGCGAGAAGGAUGCGGAAUGUGUGGUGUAGCGGUGAAAUGCAUAGAUAUUACGCAGAACUCCGAUUGCGAAGGCAGCAUACCGGCGCUCAACUGACGCUGAUGCACGAAAGCGUGGGUAUCGAACAGGAUUAGAUACCCCGGUAGUC